rnacentral:misc_RNA from 1 species
CAACAGUCCUUAUACACGAGGCAAGUAAUGAAAUUCUAUUGUAUUUAAUUAGUCUUCUUUUGGAGAAAGCUCGUGCAAUAUCUUAAAAUUCUAUUGGUUUGAGUCGUACAUCGAUCUGCAACUGGUAAAUGGUGACAAUAAAGCUUUCAUUGUGUGGGUUUUCUCUCUGACUUAGCCCUGCUUGCAUGUACAUUAAGAAACUUCAAGUCAGAUGUCAGAAUAUGUUUCUGAUUCAGUGGUCAUAUAAUCGCCACUUUAAAGUCAUGUAUUAACAUAUAUUCCAAGUGAAUAUAGUUAAAAAGACGUAUUUUCUUUAAAGGUCUAGUUGGCCUAUUCAGCUUGGUGGAGUGCCAUACACAUAUGCAGAGAGAGAGAGAGAGAG